rnacentral:rRNA from 1 species
GCGUGGUUCACGAUCCGGAUCGUUUACUUUGAAAAAAUUCGAGUGUUCAUAGCAGGCUUACGCCGUGAAGAUCGCAGCAUGGAAUAAUAACAUAGGACUUGGUGUUCUAUUUUGUUGGUUCUGGAACCUAAGUAAUGAUUGAUAGGGACAGUUGGGGGUGCUGCUAUAGACUGGCCAGAGGUGAAAUUCUAAGACUCAGUCUAGAGCAACUUAUGCGAAAGCAUUCACCAAGGAUGUCUUCUUUAAUCAAGAACGAAAGUUGGGGGAUCGAAGACGAUCAGAUACCGUCGUAGUCUCAACCAUAAACUAUGCCGACUAGGGAUUGGGCCGCGUUGAUUUUCAGGACCGGCUCAGCACCUUAUGAGAAAUCAAAGUCUUUGGGUUCCGGGGGGAGUAUGGUCGCAAGGCUGAAA